rnacentral:rRNA from 1 species
CAAUAGCGUAUAUUAAAGUUGUUGCAGUUAAAAAGCUCGUAGUUGGAGUUCAGAGUGAGCUCGUCCGGUCGGCCUUAUGGGUCAGAACUGGUUGACUCUCUCUUGUUUGUGGAUCCUGUCAGCAGUUAACUCUGUUGAUGUGGAGUCCACAUCGUUUACCUUGAAAAAUUAGAGUGUUCAAAGCAGGCGUUUGCUUGAAUAUAUUAGCAUGGAAUAAUGGAAUAGGACGCUGGUUCUAUUUUGUUGGUUUUGAGAACCAGAGUAAUGAUUAAUAGGGACUAGGUUGGGGGCUAUUCAUUAUUUCAUUUGUCAGGAGGUAGUAAAUUUCGUUAGGUAUUUAUAGAAAGAUAGUAACUUCUGACGAAAGCUAUUUCGACCGAAGGAUUGUUUUAC